AUUGAACGCUGGCGGCAGGCUUAACACAUGCAAGUCGAGCGGAGAUGAGGUGCUUGCACCUUAUCUUAGCGGCGGACGGGUGAGUAAUGCUUAGGAAUCUGCCUAUUAGUGGGGGACAACAUUCCGAAAGGAAUGCUAAUACCGCAUACGUCCUACGGGAGAAAGCAGGGGUUCUUCGGACCUUGCGCUAAUAGAUGAGCCUAAGUCGGAUUAGCUAGUUGGUGGGGUAAAGGCCUACCAAGGCGACGAUCUGUAGCGGGUCUGAGAGGAUGAUCCGCCACACUGGGACUGAGACACGGCCCAGACUCCUACGGGAGGCAGCAGUGGGGAAUACUGGACAAUGGGGGGAACCCUGAUCCAGCCAUGCCGCGUGUGUGAAGAAGGCCUUAUGGUUGUAAAGCACUUUAAGCGAGGAGGAGGCUACUGAGACUAAUACUCUUGGAUAGUGGACGUUACUCGCAGAAUAAGCACCGGCUAACUCUGUGCCAGCCGCCGCAGUAA
rnacentral:rRNA from 1 species